UAACCUAUGCAGGGGGAUAAUCUCGGGAAACUGAGGAUAAUACCCCAUAAACCACUACGCCUGGAACGGUGAGUGGUUGAAAGCUCAGGCGGUGUAGGAUGGGUCUGCGGCGUAUCAGGUCGUAGGGGGUGUAAUGGACCUCCUAGCCAUCGACGCGUACGGGUUGUGGGAGCAAUAGCCCGGAGACGGAUUCUGAGACACGAAUCCGGACCCUACGGGGUGCAGCAGGCGCGAAAACUUGACAAUGCGAGCAAUCGUGAUCAGGGAACUCCAAGUGGCUGGGGUAAGACCCAGUCUUUUCAUAACUCUUCAAAGGUUGUAGAAUAAGGGGUGGGUAAGGACGGUGCCAGCCGCCGCGGUAAUACCGGCGCCUCAAGUGGUAGUCGCUUUUAUUGGGCCUAAAACGUCCGUAGCCGGUUUGGUACAUUCGUGGGUAAAUCAACUCGCUCAACGAGUUGAAUUCUGCGAGGACGGCCAGACUUGGGACCGGGAGAGGUGUGGGGUACUCUCAGGGUAGGGGUAAAAUCCUGUCAUCCUGAGAGGACCACCUGUUGCGAAGGCGCCACACUAGAACGGAUCCGACGGUCAGGGACGAAGCCUAGGGGCACGAACCGGAUUAGAUACACGGGUAGUCCUAGGUGUAAACGCUGUGAACUUGGUGUCGGGGAUCCGUAAUGGGUCCUCGGUGCCGGAGUGAAGAUGUUAAGUUCACUGCCUGGGGAGUGCGGUCGCAAGGCU
rnacentral:rRNA from 1 species